AUUGAACGCUGGCGGCAGGCCUAACACAUGCAAGUCGAGCGGAGCGGCGGACGGGUGAGUAAUGCCUAGGAAUCUGCCUGGUAGUGGGGGAUAACGUCCGGAAACGGGCGCUAAUACCGCAUACUAUCAGAUGAGCCUAGGUCGGAUUAGCUAGUUGGUGGGGUAAAGGCCUACCAAGGCGACGAUCCGUAACUGGUCUGAGAGGAUGAUCAGUCACACUGGAACGGAGACACGUUCCAGACCCCAACGGGGGGCAGCGGUGGGGAAUAUGGACAAGUGGCGAAAGGCCUAAUCCAGCCAUGCCGGGGGUGUGAAGAAGGUCUUCGGAUUGUAAAGCACUUUAGGUUGGAAGGCGUUCCCACCGGAAUAAGCCCCGGCUAACUUCGUGCCAGCCGCCGCGGUAAUA
rnacentral:rRNA from 1 species